rnacentral:rRNA from 1 species
UACGGGGGGGGCAAGCGUUGUUCGGAAUUACUGGGCGUAAAGGGUGCGUAGGCGGUCGGGUAAGUCUGACGUGAAAUCUCCGGGCCUAACCCGGAAACUGCGUCGGAUACUAUCCGGCUAGAGGAUUGGAUGGGAGACUGGAAUACUUGGUGUAGCAGUGAAAUGCGUAGAUAUCAAGUGGAACACCAGUGGCGAAGGCGAGUCUCUGGACAAUUCCUGACGCUGAGGCACGAAAGCCAGGGGAGCAAACGGG